UGUGCAUGUAUGUAUGUAUGUAUGCGCGUGCGUCUGUGUAUUCUGAAUUUAAAAUGUUUUAACUCGGAAGGAUCUGGAUCACAGGUCAUUUCAUCUGAGAUCAAUCCGCACGCAACAGCUGGAAUCACUUACUGAUUCACACAAGGAAGGACACACGUCAGCCGUUUCCUCAAGUUCAUGUCAGAGUGGAGAUGAUGUGAGAGGCAGACCCGAGACAUAGCGAGACAGUCUCCGCUUGGACUGGCUGAGGAAAGUCUCCUAAAUGGCCCUGGAGAUGUUCUGACUGACUUUGGAGGCUUUUUGGACUGUUUUAUGCCCUCUAUUUAAAGACUUAAUUCUGUAUGUUCAGUCUGUAUGAUAAGUGAAUAAGUGAAUAAAAAGCUUUUGUUUUUAUGUGA